rnacentral:lncRNA from 1 species
CAAGCAAACCCAUUCACCUGCCCAUGUCUCAAUUCCAGGCACUAUCAACUGCGUCUGUGUAAAUGGCUAAAGUACAAACAGUGGGUAUGUUGCCAGUGGGAAGAGUGGCUGAUAUGAAGGAGAAUGUUUCUAGGAGUCUCUUUUCCCUAGGUUUGACAUCCAGAUCCUGCUGGUUCACAAACAGGCCACAGAGAGCUCUUGACGGACCAGCAGGAUUUCCAGGGAUGGUCAGUAUUGAUAAAAGCCAGAGAGAGGCCCCAGAGCUGUGUGCAGGGUCCAGUGGAGCACGAUGGUUGGACUUCAGAAUGGAUGAAAGCACCUUGUCUGUGUCACACCCUGGGAUGAACUGCACUUGUCAGUGGAAGAUACAGCAGGAAGAAAACUCCAGAGAAAUUGCAAGAUCCAUUUGCAACAAGCAUAAUAAAUAUCAAUAAAUUGAAUGGUCAGGAAUAGCACCUACAUAAACAGGAUGUGGCAACUGGAGUGAGCAUAUUAAACUAUACUCAUCAAAUGAUCAGAUUUGCAGUGGGACAAGAGUAUUUAUAUUUUUAAAAAUGAUUUAUGGCUGUCAGAACCCUGGGAAAAGGUUAUGGUUCAUGAAGGAGUUGGACAGGUAGAAAUGUGACCGUUCUCAUAGUUGGAAAUCUAGAAAUGCGUGGAUCCUUUGGAAGGCUCUGGAUGCUGCAAAACAGGUCCUAUAUUGGCAUAGUAAUGCAACACUUGCAACAUCUACAUGCCUUUUGUUAAGGAGGACAAUGGAAAUGUGAGGAGUUUGGGUACUUGAGUCCAUGCAUCUUGGGAAUGUUUAUAAAAGCAUUAAUAAAUUAAUUAAUUAAUUAAGAAUGGCUGUACUU